rfam:Gasterosteus aculeatus cont1.011480, whole genome shotgun sequence.
GUUGUUGUUGUUUGUAAGUCGCUUUGGAUAAAAGCGUCAGCUAAAUGACAUGUA